UACAGAGGGUGCAAGCGUUGUUCGGAAUUACUGGGCGUAAAGCGCGCGUAGGCGGUUUUGCAAGCCAGAGGUGAAAUGCCUGAGCUCAACUCAGGAAUGGCCUUUGGGACUGCGAGGCUUUGAGGACUGGAGAGGUGAGUGGAAUUCCCAGUGUAGAGGUGAAAUUCGUAGAUAUUGGGAAGAACACCGGUGGCGAAGGCGGCUCACUGGCCAGUUUCUGACGCUGAGGCGCGAAAGCUAGGGGAGCAAACAGG
rnacentral:rRNA from 1 species